GACGAACGCUGGCGGCGUGCCUAAUACAUGCAAGUAGAACGCAGUUGCGAACGGGUGAGUAACGCGUCGGUAACUGCCUCAUAGCGGGGGAUUACUAUCGGGAAAGAUUGAUAAUAACGCAAUCUGUGAGCUGGACCGGCGUUGUAUUAGCUAGUUGGUGGGGUAAAGGGCCACCAAGGCGACGAUACAUAGCCGGGCUGAGAGGGUGGUCGGGCAACCUGGGACCUGGGCACGGCCCAGAAUUCUUCGGGAGGGCGCAAUUGGGAAUCUUCGGCAAUGGGCGGAAGUCUUGCCGAGCAACGCCGCGUGAGUGAAGAAGGUUUUCGGAUCUUAAAGCUCUGUUGUUAGAGAAGCGGUAACUACCCAGAAAGCGACGGCUAACUACGUGCCAGCAGCCGCGGUAAUAC
rnacentral:rRNA from 1 species